CCUACGGGUGGCAGCAGAGGGGAAUUUUGGACAAUGGGCGAAAGCCUGAUCCAGUGAUGUCGCGUGUGUGAAGAAGGUCUUAGGAUUGUAAAGCACUUUUGUCGGGGAUGAAAAGUCUGUGUUAAUAGCACAAGACGAUGACAGUACCCGAAGAAUAAGGAUCGGCUAACUACGUGCCAGCAGCCGCGGUAAUACGUAGGAUCCAAGCGUUAAUCGGAAUUAUUGGGCGUAAAGAAUUUGUAGGUUGUUAUGUAAGUUAGUUGUGAAAUCCCCGGGCUCAACCUGGGAACUGCGACUAAGACUACAUGGCUAGAGUAUGUAAGAGGUAAGUGGAAUUCCUAGUGUAGCAGUGAAAUGCGUAGAUAUUAGGAGGAACACCAGUGGCGAAGGCGACUUACUGGGACAAUACUGACACUGAGAAAUGAAAGCGUGGGGAGCAAACGGGAUUAGAUACCCUUGUAGUC
rnacentral:rRNA from 1 species